GCUAAACGCGAAGAACCUUACCUGGCCUUGACAUGUCUGGAAUCCCGAAGAGAUUUGGGAGUGCCGCAAGGAACCAGAACACAGGUGCUGCAUGGCUGUCGUCAGCUCGUGUCGUGAGAUGUUGGGUUAAGUCCCGCAACGAGCGCAACCCUUGUCCUUAGUUGCCAUCAUUAAGUUGGGAACUCUAAGGAGACCGCCGGUGACAAACCGGAGGAAGGUGGGGAUGACGUCAAGUCAUCAUGGCCUUUAUGGCCAGGGCUACACACGUGCUACAAUGGCAGGUACAGAGGGAAGCCAACCGGCGACGGGGAGCUAAUCCCAGAAAGCCUGUCUUAGUCCGGAUUGCAGUCUGCAACUCGACUGCAUGAAGUUGGAAUCGCUAGUAAUCGCAGAUCAGCAUUGCUGCGGUGAAUACGUUCCCGGGUCUUGUACACACCG
rnacentral:rRNA from 1 species